CUGACCUCAAAUCAGGUAGGACUACCCGCUGAA
rnacentral:rRNA from 6 species